UGAGAAACCUGUCCCGGUCUCUGGAAUAACAGUCGGAAACGACUGCUAAUACCGGAUGCCGUCGGAGCGUCGCAUGGCGCGCUGACGAAAGGGCUACCGGAUCGGGAGGGUCUCGCGGCCUAUCAGCUUGUUGGUGAGGUAACGGCUCACCAAGGCAUCGACGGGUAGCUGGUCUGAGAGGAUGGCCAGCCACAUUGGGACUGAGACACGGUCCAGACUCCGUAGGA
rnacentral:rRNA from 1 species